UUNUGAACUGGGUGGCUAGAGUGUGUCAGAGGGGGGUAGAAUUCCACGUGUAGCAGUGAAAUGCGUAGAGAUGUGGAGGAAUACCGAUGGCGAAGGCAGCCCCCUGGGAUGGCACUGACGUUCAUGCCCGAAAGCGUGGGUAGCAAACAGGAUUAGAUACCCUGGUAGUCCACGCCCUAAACGAUGUCGAUUAGCUGUUGGGCAACUUGAUUGCUUGGUAGCGAAGCUAACGCGUGAAAUCGACCGCCUGGGGAGUACGGUCGCAAGAUUAAAACUCAAAGGAAUUGACGGGGACCCGCACAAGCGGUGGAUGAUGUGGAUUAAUUCGAUGCAACGCGAAGAACCUUACCUGGUCUUGACAUGUACGGAACCUUCCGGAGACGGAAGGGUGCCUUCGGGAGCCGUAACACAGGUGCUGCAUGGCUGUCGUCAGCUCGUGUCGUGAGAUGUUGGGUUAAGUCCCGCAACGAGCGCAACCCUUGUCAUUAGUUGCCAUCAUUUGGUUGGGCACUCUAAUGAGACUGCCGGUGACAAGCCGGAGGAAGGUGGGGAUGACGUCAAGUCCUCAUGGCCCUUAUGACCAGGGCUUCACACGUCAUACAAUGGUCGGUACAGAGGGUAGCCAAGCCGCGAGGUGGAGCCAAUCCCAAAAAACCGAUCGUAGUCCGGAUUGCACUCUGCAACUCGAGUGCAUGAAGUCGGAAUCGCUAGUAAUCGCAGGUCAGCAUACUGCGGUGAAUACGUUCCCGGGUCUUGUACACACCGCCCGUCACACCAUGGGAGUGGGGGAUACCAGAAGCAGGU
rnacentral:rRNA from 1 species